rnacentral:lncRNA from 1 species
CAGAAGAAAUACUUGGAAAUCAGGGUGGUAGGUACCAGAGUCACCCAUAUCCUAAUUGUUAGGACCCUGAGCAGGCCUCUGGCUAUGGUAAAGCAGACUCAACGGGUGUUAUGAAGUUCAAGAUCCUAAGGAAGCCUUGGGAGUUCCUAGGCAUCCCCCUGUAAAGGACAGCAAGAGUCUCCGGCUCUAGGCCCACUUGUGAAGAUGCAGAGGCCAGAGAGUGGAAGGUACUCAGGAGCCCUGCCCACGAUGAAAGCCUGUCCAGCGUUUGAUGAGCUCUUCUUUCCACCUGCUCCUGCCCAGUGAUGAAACUGUGGGCUACUAGCCCCAUUUCACAGAAAAGAAAACAGAGGUUCCAAGAGGCUUGUGAGUGGCUGAGUCCCUGAGCUCCAGCUAGAACCUUACAACUCAAGUAACUGUUGGCGCCUACCCAACACUUGAAGUUGAGGUCUAGGAGCCAAAGGAACCCCAGACCUUGGGGUGGGAGAAGGCUCUGUUGAAAAAUGGACUCAUCUGAGCUCCUAGAAUCUGGAUUCUUCCAUCUGCCCAAAUCCUGUGGAAGAGGAAACAAAACAGAGGUAUGCUCGGACUGUGCUCAAACUUGUCAACGUGACUGGAUUGAAAGGACUAGGAGAUUGGUAAGGCACAUCUCUGCUAAUUACCAAGGGAUGUAUGGGAGGGGAAUGUGGGUGUCACCAUCCCAUAAGUUGGGCUACCAAAUAGAAUAAAAGGCAGGGGCACUGCUAACAUGAACAUUGUGUAUAUACUUGCACUCUCCCCUCCUCUUCUUCAUUUUCUCUCUCUUUCUCUCUGCUUCCUAACUGUCAUGUCCUCCCCACUAUGAUGAACUGAACCCUCUGAAACCAUGAGUCAAAGAUCCUACUCACCAGUCCUUUCUUCUGAAGCCUUCUGAAUAGAAGUCUGGUUGGAGUCUGGUUGUUGCUCUGUUAAUAAUGGAAUAAUAACGUUUUAUAGGACAACAACUAAAAAAGUAAGAGCCUGCAGAAGUUGUGAGAACAGCUGGGGACAGCUGGAGGACUUCACACAGGCCUUCACUAUCUUGAUCCACGUGUUUAGACACUGGUCCCUCAUCUGCCCAUGGAGCCUGACCAUAAUGUAUCUCAGAGGAGCUGUCAUCCUGGCUUGGGGUGAUUGAGUAGCACCCCCAGAGCCUGUUUUCUCAUCUCUGAAGUGGGAUGGUGGUCCCUUCCUUCUGGAUCAUUUUGAGCUAAGAUAUACUACCCAUGAUAGUACCUGAGAAGAACUAUUUCAAUAAUUGUCACUAAG